CCGUUAAGAUUUCCAAUUGUUUUACUCCUAAACACGAAAACAUAUAACUGCUUUGUUCUGUUGAUUGCACCUUUUGAAUGCAUGGUCCAUUGUACUGAUACUGUCUGCAUAAAGUAUUGGGCAGUCGUAAUGAUUCCCAUUGACAUGUUCAAUUAUAACCAAAUAUCUUAUUGUUUCACCUUUUUGUAGCUUAAGGAUGUAGCUGAAAGAUUGCAUGUUGGAGCAGCAAGAAGCAUUACUCCUUUAGGUUCCCAUAACACCAGCACUAGUCCUCGUGAUGUUUCUUCAGAAGCUUUUGGGCAAUUGAGCUGUAUAACGGGCAGACAGGAACCAGAUUCAAAUGGUGUAAAUAGCAUUGUGAUUUCCCAAGGUUCAGCUACUUCGAGUAGUCGAAAUUCAAAUCUCUGUGAAUUGGUGAAUGGGGAAACGACUGGCAGGAGUAAGAACAGAAUUUCAAAAA
rnacentral:lncRNA from 1 species